ensembl:lncRNA
CUGGGGGCCACAUAACUUCAAUUCUGGUGGAGGGAAUCAGAAGGAAGAUUUUGGUUCCAGGGGCCCUGCAAUGCUGCAGUCCAGUGUUGCCCAGGAGCCCCGCGUUCUCGAGGUCACUGGGCACUUGCUGCAUCUACAAUAAAAUAGAUCCCACUUUUUGUUCCCCCUGGGGAACGCUUGCACCAUUGCUCAAUUGGUUAGAACCCAAAUGGAAACUCCAAACCAAUAGCCAUUCGGUAGAGAAUUCCAUGUGUCUAAAUUGUAGUCUCAAGUAUUGAAUUUGGCAAGGUCUACAGUAUAGGUUGGCCCAAGGAGAAAUGGGCCUGUACGACCCUUUGGAUGGGAUGCUUUUGAGAUCACUUGUAGGAUCAGCUGCAUAGAAGAGACUCAGAACCUGGGAGAAGCUAGAGAAGAUUCCAGACUUGGGAGGCAAUAUGACUUAACCUCUUGAUUGCCCUCCAGGGACUGGCAAAGAUCACCCGGAAGGACAGAAAAUGAAAGGUCCCUGUCACACCUAGAUAAUGCAUCUCAUCCCCUUGCCAGAUUAGAAACUCCUCAUAAUCUGGAGCUGUGUCUUACUCAUCUUCGUAUUCAACUGUCAAGCACAGAGCCUGGCACAAGAUAGGAAAUCAACCCAUAUGUAUUGGGCUGAAUUAAGGCUGGACUGAAGAAGAUAUGGGUGUGAAUUUAAGGAUAGGGUUGAAAGACAUGAGCUCUAUCAGGGUCCAAAAAGAAUUCCCUCAAACUAUCCCUGGUCAUCUCAUUGGAAUAAGAAGCAAAUGGAUAUCACCAAAUGGAAUAGAAUCUUUAAAUACAAAAGAUAUUGUGAAAAGAGAGACAAAAUUAUUAAAGGAAUUGGUUAAUAACAUAAUUAAUUCUAAUUAAUUAGGUUUUCUUUUUCUUAUCUCCCAUGUAUUUUUUUAUACAUCCUUCCAUAAGUGAUUGCAAUAUGGAUCCUCUAGUCCUUCUCUUCCGCUGGUUGUGCUCCAUCCAUGAGCACACAUGCACACGCAUACAUGCAGUUAUCCCUCUCAAUUGUGUAUGUGCUAAGUUGUUAUUCAGAAAGGAAUCCAGGAAGAAAUAGUCCCAAUGAGAUUAUCACCACAAAUCUUUUCCAAGGCCCCAAGACUCUUCCGUCGUGGCCUCUUAAGUGUACACCAAUGAUCCAGAGGCCAGCUGUUUUCUGGAGAUUAAGAACCAGGUAGGUUAAAUUGAUGACCUGAGAUUCUGCCUUGGGGCAGUAACUUCUGCCAAUUAUUGAAGUUACUGCUAGUUUUGAAAAAGUGUUUGCUUUAAAUCUCAAAUAAUGUAAAUCUCACGGGCAGGAAGAGUCCCUCAGCAGCCAUUCCAGCCCCAGUGAGAAACCAGAAAAGAUGCUGAGACAUUAUGAGACAGUGGAGACAGGGAUCUAUCAUUGGACUAACACAGCAAUCAUCUUUAACAUGCAGAGAGGAGAGGAAGACUUGUUUCAUCUCAUUCAUGUUGCAGGGAGAAGCCACCGAUUUGAGUUUCAAAUUACGGCAUAAUAGCUCAUUUAUGCAGAUCAUAAACAAGAUUAUAUAAUGUUGUUAUGAAUGAAAUAUACACACCAAUCUGGGUAGGCCUUCCUCCCUUGUUAAUUCUUGUAUUUUGUUUGUAUUUAAUCUACCAUUAAGAUUGAAAGUCCUACAUUUGUUCAUUCAACCAAAAUUUACUGCACGCACUGUGUGUGUUCUGUGUUAGGCAAUGGGAUCCAGGGAAACUUAGGAGCUUCCAGUCUAUUGCGUGAGAUCAGAUAUGCUCGCAAGCAAAUGCAAUUACCUUCCUCCUGUAAGGGCCAUGUGAGGUGUAUUACUUUCCUUGGGUUCCCAUAAUAAAGUACCACAAACCAGUUGGCUUAAAACAACAGAAAUGUAGUCUCUCAGUUCUGGAGGCCAAAAGUUGGAAAUCAAGGUGUUGGCAGGGCCACGCUCCCUCUGAAAGCUCUAGGCGAGGAUCCUUCUUUGUCCCUUCCUACAUCUCUGCCUUCAGCAACCUCUGGCUUUCUUGGCUCUGGCCUCAUUUUCACUUGGGGCUCUCCCGGUGUGUCUCUGUCUGCCCAGGGCUGCCUUCUUAUAAGGACACCAGUUUUACUGGAUUCAGGGCCUGCCCUACUCCAGUCUGACCUAAACUGAUUACAUCAGUUUAUGUUUACAGUUUACAGCAAUGACCCUAUUUCCAAAUAAGAUCACAUCUGUAGAAUGGAGGUUACGACUUUCUAUCUUUUUGGGGAGCGAAGGGGAGACACAAUUCAAACCACGGCAAAAGAAUCUUUAAAACCUGAUGCCCUCUUGUGAAUGGCAGCAAAGCAUUAAGGGUUUGUUCUUACUCUGCGAGCAGGACUCGAAGCAUCAAUAUAAUCCAGCUCAUCUGACCAAGGGGUCAGCACCUCACAUGGCCCCACAUUGAUCUUUGUCCUCUGAGCAUCAGGGCAGCCCGACCAGAAACCCACGGAGCCUCUGAAGUUGGACUUCUGGGACUGUUCUUCCUUCUCUUUUUCUCCUCUUUCUUUUUCCCGUGGUAUCUUAUGCUAAACCUAGAAUGUACUUUGUAGACAUUAUCCUACAAAUUCUUAAGAGGGGUCUGAAAGUUUUAGUAGUUGGAACGGUUCCACUUCCAGGCAUCUGUAUGUCUUGAGCAAAAAAUAACGUGGGGAUGCCUGUCCUGAGCUGUCUUCUUGGACCCGUGACUGCAGGACAGGGAGGCUUCAUAGGCGAAUUCUAGGGCUGCCAGUAACCCAGGAAAAGGUCUCAUGCCUGCAAACUAGUCUUCAACGCAAGGGCCACUUUUAGUGGGAACUUAUACAGCUUUCCUUGAGGGAGAACCGUUUAUGAGACCAAAAACGAGAAAAAUCAAAUUGCCAACUCCGAAUUGCUCCGCAAUGAGAGUUGCUUUGAGGAUGUUCAUUUCCUGUGACAUCUAGAAGAGGGCUGAUCUAGGUCAUUACUUGGU